AAAAGAGAGGGGUCGGUCGACAGAGAAGGAGAGAGAGUGAAGAAAUUAAAGGAGAGAUUGAGAGCGGAAGUGGAAGAAACGUGUGACUGAAGAAGCUCUUACCGAGCUAGGAGAAGAUGGAGACUGGAGGUAAAUAAAUUCUGAAUUUUAGACUUUGUAUGGCGAUAUGGUGUGAAUUUACAUCUGGUUGAUUUAAUGGUUGAUUGCUGAUUCUGAAGGAGUAAAGAGGCAGAGAAUGGUGAAUAUAACAUGUAUAAGGGUAGAGGGACGAAAGGUGAGGUGGAUGGCAGGAAUGUGAAAACAUGGGUUAGGGGAUAGAGAUUGUUUAGUUGUGAAAGUGAAAGGAGGAGGUCAACCGCAGAGAAAAAGUGUGGUAAAUAGUGUGAUUAGGUUCUUUCGGUGAAGGAGGAGCUGAGGUAAAAUGUGUGUGAAGUAGAGGCGCUAAGUAGGAGAGUGAGUCUACAUGAAACCGGGAAUGAUGAUGUGCGUUGUUGUUUCGAAGUCUUGAGGUGCCGAAAUUGGUGUCGGUGAUUCAGAGUGUUGGUGCGCCGAUAUUGGCGACAGCGGAGGGAGAAAGUUUGAUGCAUCAAUACUGGUGCUAGUGAAAAUAUGCGUUUGUGGCUAACUGGGAGCCGAGGUGUGUGAGUGUGGACUAUAUCCUGUGAGUUCAGGAAAUGUGUAUGUGUUUGUAUAUGUGUAUAUUGCGGAUUUUUGUGUGUGGCCGACUGGGGGCCAAUGUGCUGGUGUAUGAAUUGUGUUUUAUGACAUUCUGGUUAUGUGACUGAAUGGGCAAGUGUGGUGUGUGUGGCUGGUUGAGGCCGGAUGUGUGUAUGUGGCAAAAAUUAAGGUCGGUGAGUGUGUGUGUGUGGGGCAAAAAUUAAGGCCGUUAAGUGUGUGUGUGUCGCUGAGUGAAGGUUGGUGUGUGUGGCUGGUUGAGGCUGGAAUAUGCAUAUGUGGUAAAAAUUAAGGCCAGUGAGUGUGUGUGGAUGAGUUAGAGUCACCGUGUGUAUGUGAGGCUAAAUUUAAGCCGGUGCGCGUGUGUGGAUAAAUUUGAGUCGAUGUGUGUGUGUGUGGUGGCUAAACUAGGGCCAAAGUAUGGAGGUAGGAGAAGCGGUUGAUAAUUGGUGGUGGUGCAGUUGUUGGAGGUAUGUGGGUGUGGGUGGCAUUGGGGUUGAAAACAUAUAGGACUAGUGUAGGUGUAUGUGUGGCCAAGCAAAGGAUGUUAUGUGUGGAAGGGAG
rnacentral:lncRNA from 1 species